UACAUAGGGUGCAAGCGUUGUCCGGAAUUAUUGGGCGUAAAGAGCUCGUAGGUCGUUUGCCGCGUCGAUUGUGAAAAUCUGAGGCUCAACCUCAGACCUGCAGUCGAUACGGGCAAACUAGAGUGUGGUAGGGGAGACUGGAAUUCCUGAUGUAGCGGUGGAAUGCGCAGAUAUCAGGAGGAACACCAAUGGCGAAGGCAGGUCUCUGGGCCAUAACUGACACUGAGGAGCGAAAGCGCGGGGAGCGAACAGGAUUAGAUACCCUGGUAGUCCGCGCCGUAAACGAUGGGCACUAGCUGUGAGAACCUUCCACGGUUUUCGCGACACAGCAAACGCAUUAAGUGCCCCGCCUGGGGAGUACGAUCGCAAGAUUAAAACUCAAAGGAAUUGACGGGGCCCCGCACAAGCAGCGGAGCAUGCGGCUUAAUUCGACGCAACGCGAAGAACCUUACCAAGGCUUGACAUAUAGCGAAAAGUGGCAGAGAUGUCAUGUCCGCAAGGGCGCUAUACAGGUGGUGCAUGGUUGUCGUCAGCUCGUGUCGUGAGAUGUUGGGUUAAGUCCCGCAACGAGCGCAACCCUCGUUCUGUGUUACCAGCAUUAAGUUGGGGACUCACAGGAGACUGCCGGGGUCAACUCGGAGGAAGGUGGGGAUGACGUCAAAUCAUCAUGCCCCUUAUGUCUUGGGCUGCACGCAUGCUACAAUGGCCGGUACAAAGUGCUGCGAAAUCGUAAGAUUUAGCGAAUCACAUAAAGCCGGUCUCAGUUCGGAUUGAGGUCUGCAACUCGACCUCAUGAAGUCGGAGUUGCUAGUAAUCGUAGAUCAGCAACGCUACGGUGAAUACGUUCCCGGGGCU
rnacentral:rRNA from 1 species